GACGAACGCUGGCGGCGUGCUUAACACAUGCAAGUCGAACGGUGAAGCGCCUUCCUUUUUGGUGGGUGUGGAUGAGUGGCGAACGGGUGAGUAACACGUGAGUAACCUGCCCCCUUCUUCUGGAUAACCGCAUGAAAGUGUGGCUAAUACGGGAUAUUCUGGGUCUGUCGCAUGAUGGGUCUGGGAAAGAUAUUGUUUCGGUGGGGGAUGGGCUGGCGGCCUAUCAGCUUGUUGGGGGGGUGAUGGCCUACCAAGGCGGUGAGGGGUAGCCGGCCUGAGAGGGUGGGCGGUCACACUGGGACGGAGACACGGACCAGACUCCUACGGGAGGCAGCAGUGGGGAAUAUUGCACAAUGGGCGAAAGCCUGAUGCAGCGACGCCGCGUGAGGGAUGGAGGCCUUCGGGUUGUGAACCUCUUUCGCCAGUGAAGCAGGCCUGCCUCGUUUGUGGGUGGGUUGACGGUAGCUGGAUAAGAAGCGCCGGCUAACUACGUG
rnacentral:rRNA from 1 species